ACCGCAUACGUCCUACGGGAGAAAGCAGGGGACCUUCGGGCCUUGCGCUAUCAGAUGAGCCUAGGUCCCCUUAGCUAGUUGGUGAGGUAAUGGCUCACCGAGGCGACGAUCCGUAACUGGUCUGAGAGGAUGAUCAGUCACACUGGAACUGAGACACGGUCCAGACUCCUACGGGAGGCAGCAGUGGGGAAUAUUGGACAAUGGGCGAAAGCCUGAUCCAGCCAUGCCGCGUGUGUGAAGAAGGUCUUCGGAUUGUAAAGCACUUUAAGUUGGGAGGAAGGGUUGUAGAUUAAUACUCUGCAAUUUUGACGUUACCGACAGAAUAAGCACCGGCUAACUCUGGGGCAGCAGCCGCGGUAAUACAGAGGGUGCAAGCGUUAAUCGGAAUUACUGGGCGUAAAGCGCGCGUAGGUGGUUUGUUAAGUUGGAUGUGAAAUCCCCGGGCUCAACCUGGGAACUGCAUUCAAAACUGACUGACUAGAGUAUGGUAGAGGGUGGUGGAAUUUCCUGUGUAGCGGUGAAAUGCGUAAAUAUAGGAAGGA
rnacentral:rRNA from 1 species